rfam:Flavobacterium hercynium strain DSM 18292 43415_contig_17, whole genome shotgun sequence.
UCCUAGCCCUGAUGGGAGGGAAAAUCCUUUUGUGCCGGGGUUCGGCAUAAAAGAUUUGGAAGGACAGCAGGAAUAAGC